rnacentral:lncRNA from 1 species
CUUCAUAUUUCUAACUAUAAUAUAAUAGUACUGUUUAGCAUAAUUGGAAAGAGGUCAUAGAGGAUGGGAGAAAACGGAGAGCCCAAAAUGGUUGAAGAUCUUUGGAUCAUCAGUGUACAUUAACUAGACCUAGAAAUUGCAUGUAAUAUCCUACAUAUGGAUAUCAUUUGAGAUUCUACUCCAAUUACAUAACACUCCAUCAGCCAGUUGUAGCACGACUUCUUUGCAUAACGUAUUGCGCUGUUUAAAUGCCUUUUUUUAUCCUUCUCUGAUGGACCAAAAAGAAGGACAAACAUCCACUUUCUGUUUAUGCAUCUUUGUUAAUCUACGUAAAAUGAAACUAGGUAAUGUUCUUCUCAGUUUGUCAGUGGGAUUGUGAAAAACUUGAAAGCUUUAUCCAGUUUUCUAUAUUAGUGAUUCUUUGUAUUUUCAG